CUGCCGGAGCUGCUCAGCGACCUUAGCGCCAGCCCGCUUCCGCUUCCGUGUCGAGAUUAUGGCGGUGGCAAAUUCAAGCCCCGUCAACCCCAUCGUCUUCUUUGAUGUUAGCAUCGGCGGCCAGGAGGUUGGCCGAAUGAAGAUUGAGCUGUUUGCGGACAUCGUGCCCAAGACGGCGGAGAAUUUCAGGCAGUUCUGCACAGGAGAAUUCAGGAAAGAUGGAGUCCCUAUUGGAUACAAGGGAAGCACUUUUCACAGGGUUAUAAAAGAUUUCAUGAUCCAAGGAGGAGACUUUGUAAAUGGAGAUGGCACUGGAGUUGCAAGCAUUUACCGAGGACCAUUUGCUGAUGAAAACUUUAAGUUGAGGCAUUCAGCUCCAGGUCUGCUUUCCAUGGCUAACAGUGGCCCCAGUACCAAUGGCUGUCAGUUCUUCAUCACCUGUUCCAAGUGUGACUGGUUGGAUGGGAAGCAUGUUGUGUUUGGUCCUGAAGGGGCCUGAAAUGCAGAAUUUGCUCUGUUCUGGAUAUGGCCCCUCUGCCGUGGAGCCACUGGGCUUCUUCGGAGCCAGCUGCAGAAUGGGGGGAGAGACGUGGAGAGAGCUCGCAAGAAACAAUAUCAUUUAGCUCUGAUUCUUUCCGCAGGAAAAAUAAUUGAUGGACUUCUAGUGAUGAGAAAAAUUGAGAAUGUUCCCACUGGACCCAACAACAAGCCCAAGCUUCCUGUGGUCAUCUCUCAGUGUGGAGAGAUGUAAUGGAGAUCAGUGCUGAAUCAGGCUUCCUUUUGCUCUGUGAUGCUUCUGAGAAGAUGGGUUGGCCUCCCACCUUGCUUCCUUGGGUACUACCUGCAUUUGUGAUCAAGAGAUAGGACCUGUCAUGGAUUCAGGACCCCAAGCCUUUUUAAGUUUUCAACUGUAAAUAAAACUUGUGUUUUGGUUGUCUUUU